ensembl:snRNA U6 U6 spliceosomal RNA
GUGCUAGCUUCAGCAGCACACAUACUAAAACUGGAACCAUACAGAAAAGAUUAGCAUGGCCCCAACACAAGGAUGACACGCAAAUUCAUGUAGCAUUCCAUAUUUUU